rnacentral:lncRNA from 1 species
AACGAAGAGGGCUUUCUUGAUCCUUCGGGAUUUACUUGAGAGCUUCAAAGUUUCGAGGCUUCAAGGCUUUGGUGUGGUGUGAAUUCUCUUCCAAUUUGGGAGUAGAGAAAGUGUGUGUAAAAAUCCUCCCCUUGAUCCUUUGAUGGAGAGGCCUAUUUAUAGGCUUUGAGAAUGAAUCACCACCAUCCAUUUGUUUUGGUGGAUGUUGUAGGUGAAUUGGUGGAUUGUUGUAGGUGAAUUUGGGUGGAGGUUGUAGGUGAAUUUGGAUGGAUUGUUGUAGGUGAAUUUGGGUGUAUGUUGUAGGUGAAUUUGGGUGGAUGUUGUAGGUGAAGUGAAUGAAGGUUGUAGUUUUAAUGCAAUGGUCAACAUUUAUUUCACUAAAAUUUCAAUGUUUACAAAUGUAAUUUUAAUGCGAUGGCUAACAUUUAUUUCAACGAAAUUUCAAUGUCUACAAAUGCCCCCACUUCAAGGCGCGUUGUAUACAUGUGAUUGUUACAUGUAGAAGAUGCGUUUUGAAGUCCCUUAAUGCAGUUGUUGAUCCAAGGGCCGUUGGGGCUUGAUCUUGAACUGGUCUGGGAGUUUCUUCAAGUGUCGUUAAGGCUUGUUCUUGAAUUUUGUUUGAAAUUUCUUCAAGGGCCGUUGAGGCUUGAUCUUGGAUGAAAUUGGACCACAAGGAGCUUCGCGUAGUAGACGAUCCUUGGCUUUGAUAAUGGAUGAAUCGGCACGUAUUUUGUUGUGCUUGUUGACUUUCCACAGCUUUAAUCUUGAACUAGGCUGGAGGAGUUUUCUGGUUUCCUCCAAAGGACUUUCCACAGACUUAAUCUUGAACUGGAUUUAACUCAAGGGUGGUGGACACUUGAUCUUGAGUCAGGGUCGUUGAGGCUUGAUCUCGAACUUAAACACGACCACGAGCAGUUUCAGGACAUGCAUGCUUUGAAAGAUCAAGGAAGUUCGCAGCAUUUUCAUAUGAACCCUAAGCAGUUUGGUCAACAGUAUGAUCUUCAAGAUUGAUGGGCUCUUCUUCCAGUUGGUGACUUGAUCUUUAAGGAUUAUCGAGACUUUGCUCUUCGGUGACAGUGCCAGCGAAAGGUUGCUAAAGCUUCUCGAGCCUUUUGGUUAGAGCAACGGUGUCCAGCUUGGAUCUUUACUUGAACUCGUCCGUCUGGAUUAUGCGGUUAUGCAGGGAAGGGCUUCGUGCUUCAUGAUUUGUUCCAGCUCGUUGUGUUGCAUUCUUCUCUGCUUGUUUCUUUUGCAUAGCUGAAGCGGUAUGCAACCUUUUACCUUUAAAUGGUUCUUCGGAGCACCACCUCUCAGCGACUCACUCAUGCUUGGCAGCUUCAGUGCAAAGCGCCGAUGUCAACAGAUCCACACUCCUAAAGCGUUUGCUGAGGGAAUUCGAGACAUAUCAGCGGUUGAAGAUGAGCACUCGAGAGCAACGCUAGGUAAGUAACCAGGCAAAGGUUCCGAGCAAUCAGUUCCUGGUCGGACAUUUAAUUUCAGGUUCCGACUGAUUGCUUCCUUUCUCCUUGUUCAGCAGGCAAGAGCAAGGGCAAAGGAGAAGAUGGGGGAAGAGCAUGAUAUGAGAUACCUUUGCUUUCGACCCCAGUGAUAUGAGAUACUUUUGCUUUUGAAGAAGUAGCUGACGAUCGGCACAUGCAUUCGUCGCGCUUGUCUCCAUAUGCUUCGAUGCAUCAUCUUCAUCUGCAUCAUCUUCACCUGCAUCAUCUGUUUUCCAGGCAGACGUGGUAGACGAAGAGGAAGCAUAAGAUGUUGAAGAUGGGUAUUCGAGAGCACGGCUAGGUGAGCAAUCAGGAAAGGUUCCAAGCAGUCGGUUCCUUACCAGGAGCUUGAGUGGAGGUUCCGACAUAUUGCUUUCUUUAUCCUUGUCUUCGCAGUGAAGAGGGAGGACAAAGAAAAGGAUAGGGAGAAAGCAUGCUAUGAGAUACUCUUGCUCUCAACCCCAGUGAUAUGAGAUACCUUUGCUCUAGUGUGGCUUGGUUGAAGAGGCGCUUCCAAGGAGGAAGAAAACCGAGUUUUAGUUGCAGAUGCCUUCGGCGAGGAAGAAAGGUUAGGCUGGAUGUGUUUUCAGGGAGGAAGAAAACUGAGUUUUGGUUGCAGAUGCCUUCGGCAAGGAAGAUGGGUCAAGCUGGAUGUGUUUUCAGGGAGGAAGAAAAACUGAGUUUUGGUUGCAGAUGCCUUCGGCAAGGAAGAAGGGUCAGGCUGGAUGUGUUUUCAGGGAGAAGGAAAACUGAGUUUUGGUAUAGGAUGGGGGUCGAAUUAUAUGGUGAGCUCUCAACAUCAAGUGGUAGGGUGAGCGUGGCCUUGUCACCCACGCUUGUCGGCAGAAGUGCGGUAGUUGGCGUAAUGGACUUCACACGUUUUCAACUUUGUCAGUGAUCUCUGACAAAGUUGCACGUGAUAGCCGAAAGCUGAGAUUGUGUCUGAAAAGUGUCGACGGACUUUACGCAGGAAAAUCCGGGUUUUGAAAUUCGGAUAGUGGUGUCUCUUCGAUUUAUGAACGAAUGGUUGUGCUGCCUCUUCUUUUAAAGAGGUGUCAAUCGUAUUCAACAUGCACAAUUUGAAGAUUGCCUACCCGUGAAAAAUUAUCUCUGCUGCUCUGAGAUUUUACUUCCUCCAACCCUUUUCUUUUAGUAUUUUUGAAAAUGGCUUCCCCUUUUAACAUUUGCUUAGAUUUGAGUCUCAGCAGUGACACAGGCGCACCGCGUCAGGGUAAUGUAUGGCGCCCGUCUUUUUUUUCUUCUAAUGGCCCUCUUACAGUUGAAGACUCUGUGAUGAGGGAGGCAACCACGGCUACGGUUGUAGCUAGAAACCUCAUCACUUCUAAAGAUAAUAGGAUACUUUCACGACGGUCCGAUGAGUUAGCUGUUCAAGAGUCCCAGGCUCUCAGUGUCCAGUGUGCGAACUCUGUUUCCAACAUGGGCCAACGCUUACUUGCUCGAGGUUGAAUCAUUGACAGCCGAGGUGGCGGCUCUUAGUCAAGAGAUUAGGCAGCUCAAGCGUGAGAAUAGAGAGUUGCAUGUGCUUGCAAAUAGUUAUUCGACGAGCAUGAAGAGGAAGCUUGAUCAGCUGAUGGACUCCGAAGGUCGAAUUCAAAGUGACCAUCGGAAGUUUGUGGAUGUAUUCCAGAGGCACUUUUUGCCUUCGUCAUCUGGAAUUCGACCAAGUAUUGAGGCUCCGAAUAAGCUAUCUUCAGUGCCUCCCUCCUUUAGGGUUCCACCGAGUACCAAGGCUCCAAGUACUGAGGCUUCACACAAGUGACAUUCGUGAAGGCUCUUUUUUUCUUUUUUUCUUUUUUUCUUUUUUUUUUUUUUUUUUUUUUUUUUUUUUGUAAUUUCUCGGAGAUAUUAAUGGACAUGCCUUAUUUUACUCAGUAUGUUGUGUUGAAACGCAAAUAAAACGCAAAUCUGACUAAGAUGUAUUACUUCCCUAUGCACCCACUUCCUUUUAGAUGGUGACUAGUGCACCCAUUUCCUUUUAGAUGGUGACUGGAAGCAUCAUUUUGUCAUCACCACCCAUUUCCUUUUCCAUUAUUGACUUGCUAAUAGUAAUACACACUCGUGAGUGGCUUGACGAUAGCACGGUUGGGUUUUUUUGGUGGCCUUCCUCACUGCACUGAGUUCUUCUCGCAUGCGGACCAUCUUUUCACUUGCACAGUCACCUUAUUACAUUCUUCACUGCAUGCGGAUUGCUUUUUACACAGUCCCUGCAUCGCAUGUGGACCGGUUUUAUUUGCAGCCUGUUGAGACCAAUAUAUAUAUACACACGCAUUCAUACACACAUGCAUACAUACAUAGGGCACUGCGUAGUCUUUACAUAGACACUGCACCAGCUUACUGCCCUGAAUCUUAACUGCACUGUCCUGCUUCCUUGCUGCGACGUGUUCUUCUCGUCUGCCGUGUGGUGAGCUCGGUGGUGACGUUGGCGUAGUGCUCACCUUUGUAAUAUGGCUUUGUAACCAAAUCAUUUCUUUAAAGAAAUAAAAUAUUCAUAUCUUGAAUUUGCUUUUUAUUCUUCAAAGUGUUUGUGUUUUUGUUGGUGAUGUGACUGUACUUGAAGUUUUGAAGUUUCAAGUUGCCUACGUACCCUCGGUUGAGAAGGGAUCAAGUCAUGACGUAGUUCAAAUGAGCGAUGAAAUUUUUUUUUUUUUAUGGUGAUUUUGAUGAUGAUUUUGCCGUACACAGUUUAUGCUCUUGCGGGCCAGGAGUUUUGUGCCGUGUGCAGUUUAGGCUCAUGCAGGCUAGGAGUCUGGUCGUCGCCUUUUAAGGGUAGUAACGCUUCAAGAAUCUGCCAUUGAUGGGACCGAUCUUCAAGCCGUCUUCUGCCAUGAUUAAGUAAGCGCCAUUCGUGUAGACCUCUUGUAUUACGUACGGUUCAUCCCACUUUGAUGUGAACUUACUUUUUGUCUUGUGAGUUGUGAUGAUAGGCCUUCGUAAUGCAAGGAUGAGAUCUCCAGUUUGGAAAGACCUUGGCCGGACCUUCUUGUUGAAUGCCUUGGAUAGCCGUGCUUGGUAGCAUUCCAAGUGUUGUUGAGCUUCGAGCCUUCUUUCGUCGAGUGAUUCCAACUCUUGAAGGCACAACUUUGCAUUCUCUUCAUCAGUCAAGCCUUCUUGUAUAGCCAUCCUAAGUGAGGGGAUUUGACUUUCUAGCGGUAGAACAGCUUCCACGCCAUAUACGAGAGAAUAAGGGGUAGCUUGGGUAGGAGUCCUAUGCGUCGUCCUAUAUGCCCAAAGUGCUUCGCUUAUUCUUUCAUGCCAGUCUCUCUUUGUUCGGCCGAUCACUUUCUUUAAGAGGUUGCACAAUGUUUUGUUGAAUGCUUCUGCAAGACCGUUAGCCGGAGCAUGAUGCAUGGAAGACCUGUGUUGCUUGAACUUGUAUUUCUCACAGAACUCGUCUACAGGUCGGUUGGAGAACUGUUUUCCAUUGUCAGUGAUAAUGUAGCGAGGCACACCAUAUCUGUGGAUGAUAUGCUCUUUGAUGAAACGGACAACAGUUUCCUUUUUUACUUCCCUUAGGGGUAUGGCUUCAGCCCACUUGGAGAAGUAAUCUGUUGCAGCUAGGAUGUAAGCUUCUCCUGCAGACGACUUUGAAGUAAUUGGUCCCACGACGUCCAAUCCCCAUGCAUCGAAUGGCCAUGAAGCAGCUGUAGGGUGUAAUGGUUCAGGUGGUUGAUGUAUGAAGUUGGCGUGGAAUUGGCAGGCUUGGCACCUUUUGGCAUGUUCUAGGCAAUCCUUCACCAUACUUGGCCAGUAGUAACCCAUUCUCUUGAGCUGGAAAUGUAGCUUUGGUCCAGAUUGAUGUGCCCCGCACACGCCUGAGUGUGCUUCUUCCAUGGCUUGAUUGGCUUCUUCCUCACCUAGGCAUCUCAGAAGUACUCCUUCGAAAGAGCGCCGGUAGAGUGUUUCUUUGUAGUAGAGGAAGCGAGGUGCUCGUCGACGUAUUUCAGAGCGGUGUCUAGGAUCAUUUGGAAGUUUUCCAUACUCCAAGUAGUCAAUCAAUGGUUGUCUCCAUUCUUCAACAUCGACUGGAAGUACCGAGAUGACAUUUGUAUCAUUUAGUAGCAUUUCGGUGGCGAGGGGGAUGACCCAUCUUUGGAAAACUGGCACAUCUGCAGCUUCGUCUUCUCCUAGUGUCAUACUCGAGGCUAGGUUAGCGAGAGCGUCUGCCAUUUGAUUUUCUUUUCUCGGCACAUGUUCUAGUGUUACGACCUCGAACUUUUGUAGCAGCUGAGUUGCCAGUCGGAAGUACGGAACGAGAUCAUCUUUCCUCACCUCAUAUUCAGUCAAGAGUUGACUAAUUAUGAGCUUGGAGUCGCCAUAUACCUCAAGGGUUGUGAUUUCCAUGUUGAUCGCCAUUUGGAGCCCGAUGAUUAGUGCUUGGUACUCAGCGACGUUGUUGGAGCACAAUUCGCUUAGUUGGAAUGAAUAAGGUAGUAUUUGCCUUUGUGGCGACAUGAAUACUACUCCUGCCCCCGCUCCGUCUGCUCGUGCGGAUCCGUCGAAAAACAUCGUCCAUCUCGGGAAUAUGUCAAUGUAGAAUACCUCCUCGUCAGGCAAGUCGUCUGAGAUUUUCCAAUCGGCUGGGAUUGGAUGAUCGGCAAGGAAGUCUGCUAAUGCUUGUCCCUUGACGGCUUUAGCUGGGACGUAAAUGAUCUCGUAUUGAUUGAGAAUCAACGCCCAUUUAGCUAGUCGGCCUGUCAAGACUGGCUUGGACAUGACGUAUUUAACCGGGUCAGCUUUAGCAACCAAGUGGAUGGUGUAAGCAUGCAUGUAAUGUAUGAGCUUCUGGAUGGCAAACACCAAGGCAAGGCACAUUUUUUCUAUUGGGGAGUAGUUCAACUCAGCACCGGUGAGUGUUCGACUCAGGUAGUAAAGCGCUCCUUCUUUCUGGAAUUCGUUUUCCUGUGCCAAGAGUGCUCCCACUGAACUUUCCUGAGCGGCGAUGUACAAUAUGAGUGGUUUUCCGGGCACAGGCGCCCCCAGGACAGGUGGACUUGAUAAAUAUUUUUUUAUGCUUUCAAAAGCAUUGUGGCACGCUUCGUCCCAUACGAACGGAACAUCCUUUUUCAUGAGUCGGCUAAACGGUUGACAACGCCCUGCAAGGUUGGAGAUGAAACGUCUGAUGAAGGCUAGUCGUCAUUGUAGACUUUUCAGCUCGUGCAGGUUUCUUGGCUCGGGCAUGUUUUGAAUGGCCUUGAUCUUUGAUUGGUCCACUUCAAUGCCACGGUGCUUGACAAUGAAGCCGAGGAACUUUCCAGAGGUGACGCCAAACGCACACUUUAACGGGUUCAUCUUGAGGUUGUAUUUUCGCAGCCUUUCGAACACUACUCGCAAAUCCUUCAAGUGAUCUGAUCUUUUCUUUGUUUUGACCACCACGUCGUCUACAUAACAUUCUACGUUUUUGUGUAGCAUGUCAUUGAAGAUUUUCUGCAUUGCUCGCUGAUAUGUGGCUCCAGCGUUCUUUAGACCAAAGGGCAUCACCUUGUAGCAGUAGAUACCUUUUGGAGUGCGGAAUGCUGUUAGUUCCUCAUCUUCGAGAGCCAUACGAAUUUGAUUGUAUCCAGAAGAGCCGUCCAUAAAUGACAGUGCCUCGUGGCCAGUGGUUGCGUCCACCAUGAUUUCGAUGAUCGGCAAGGGAAAGUCAUCUUUCGGGCAAGCGUCAUUGAGGUCCCGGAAGUCUACACAAACACGUAUUUGUCCAGAUUUCUUAAGGACGAUGACGAUGUUGGAGAUCCACUUGGGGUAUUGCACCUCUCGAAUGAAGCCUGCUUCGAUUAACUUGUCAAUCUCUACCUCGAUUUGUGGAAUGAGCUCGGAUCGAUAGCGCCUUUGAGUUUGCUUUAUCGGUCGUGUUCCAGGCUUAACUGCAAGAUGAUGUACAGCGAUGACAGGGUCAAGGCCGGGCAUUUCCUUGUAAGUCCAAGCAAAGACGUCUUUGUACUCUGAUAACAGUUGGUAAUACUCAUCUACCUCGUCUGCACUUAGCAGCGCACUCACGAAGAUAGGUUUCUGCUCUUCUUUUGUGCCUAAGUUGAGCUCCUUGAGAUCAUCGACCGUGGAUUGCCCCCCAUCCUCAAGUUGCGGUGGCGCAGCAGUGACAUCUUCUUCGGGGAUCUCAUCUUCUUUGCUUUCUUGGAUCGUGAUAUGGAAGACAUCUUGGAAUUCCUCUUCGGUGUCGUCCUCUCGGGUGUUGUGGUUACGAAAAUCUAUGCAAGCGCGGAGUUCCCCUGAUUUUUUAAAGGCAACAUUUAAGUUCCGUCCUGCAUCCAUGACCUCUUAAAUUAAAUCAGCUUCGUUUAUGUUAUCAAUCUCAGCUUCAUCUAUGCUUAAAAGUGUGUUACCAAUAGUUUCUUGCCCCCUUUUCGACUGGUGCGUUUGUGAAUGCGACGUAGGCCUCAUGUGUAAUUUCUUUGAAGUGACAUGAGUCCUUCCUUCAACUUCGCUUGACUUGGAGCAUGCCCCCAGCGAUCGAGGUGGCGAUUUUGAGUCGAAAGAACCAGAAGCGACGUCUUCCUUAGGGAUUUCAUCUUCUUUGUCUUUAUGGAUCGUGCCGAGGAAGAUGUCUUGGAUCUCCCCUUCAAUGUCAUCCUCUUGGGCUUGUUGGCAUGAAGAUUGUCCAGUGUGGAUGAUGGUGCGCCUUCUUACUUUUAGUGGUUCGUUUGUGUCAACCUCCAAGAUUGCUUGGCGCUUCAUCCUUGAAGGAACUAAGCUUCGAAUAUCGCCUUUUUCUGCUAGCCUGUCGAGCUUUUCUUCCUUUGACGUUGUCUCCCUAUUUCUAGAAAACUUCCUGUUGUCUUCAAGUCUUUCCAAAGUCGACCGACGAGAGCUGGCCGUGUGGCUUUGGUUCUUGGGUUUUGAUAACCUUUCAAAAACAGAGCUUUGGGAUGUUGGCCUGUUAAGUCUCUUGAAGACGGAGGUUCGGCUUUGACCACCAAUGCGAUUAAGUGCUGAAAUUCUGGGCCUUGAAGGAUUCAUCCUAUCGAAGACUGACGUCCAAGGGGUGGAUUUAGGCUCAUCAUGAUCUUGUUCAAUACUCACGUUGAUGUGUUGAGUGCUAGCAUUUUUCGCUUUGCUUGAAAUCUUCACGGGUGCAUUUGGUGUGAAGCCAAGUCCAGCUUUGUUGUUAUCAACUCCGUAACCGUGCUUCUUUAACUUCUUUUGAGUCUCGAUGAGGUCACGUUCUUUAUUGUUAACGGUGUUUGAAACCUUUUUUCCAUGAUUCGAAGAAGAAGCGAAGUCGUAACCAGCUUUCGACAUGAGUUAUAGGCGUUUGGAUCAAAACCUUCUUCGGUCCUCUGGGUUGGGAGAAAGCUUGGUUCCACCCCCUUUGGUAGAGCUUGUAUGAAGCCUUGUGGUAGUCUUGCAACCUUAGUGCCGCCUAGCUGUGUCAGAGGCAAAACUGCAUUCGUCUUGAGCAACUUUACAUUAUCCAUAUGCCGCUGUGCAUCGGCUUUGUUUGCUCCAAAUUCGAACGGAGAUUGACCAUUCUUUCUUCUCGACAUCGGGAUGUAUCGGAAGACGGGUGUGUUUGGUCCAUUUGAGGGCAUCAUACUCCUCUUUGUUGUUGCACGUUUAGCCAGCUCAUUAUCGUUCUUGCUCGAAGACGGCAUAACUUCUUCUUCUUGCUUCUUGGGCAUGGCUUGUCGCUCCUGCUUUUUAGGUGUUGCUUUGCCCGUGGAUUUGAUCUCUUUUGGAAGAGCUUCGGGUACCAUGUCUUCAUCCAUGUAGAACUUGGCGUCUGCAAAAUGUGAUUCGGCUUCAGUGAAUGGUUUGGUGUCGCCAUAGAUCACCUUCACUCCUUCUCGGUAGAAUUUUAAGCAUUGGUGAAGGGUGGACGGUACUACUCCAUUCGCAUGGAUCCAAGGCCUUCCUAAGAGUAAGCCGUAGGAAGUUCUUGCAUCAAUCACGUGGAAUAUCGUGCUCGACUUUAGUUCACCAAUAGUCAUCUCCACUCGGAUCAUGCCCAUCGCUCUUUGUCCUCCUUGAUUAAAACCUUGGAUUAGUAGACGACUUAGGGACAGCUCAUUUGCCUUGAUGCCGAUUGUAGUCAUUGUUGACUUUGGCAUGAUGUUUAUGGCUGAUCCACCAUCCACAAGCAUGCGGUUGAUUUUGUGCCCCUUUACAUACCCAGAGACGAAGAGAUGACGGUUGUGAGGCUUGGAUCCUAGCAACAAGUCUUCGUCGGUGAAAUGGAUUGCGUCCUCGAUGGCACAACAUGUGGCACAUUCAUGUGGCCGAAGCUUCAAGCCUUCGUUCUUGCUUUCUUACACUUCAUGUUCAUUGGGACUUUCCAAGGCCGCUGCUAAUGCUAUUCGCAUCUUCUUUGGUAAUCGUAGCGCUUCCUCAAUGAUAAAGUGUGUUGGCAGACCUUCUUCGAGCGUAAGAGUUUUUUCUCCCUCAGUGGUGAUAUCUUUUUCUUUUGAAGGUUCUUCUGUUUCUACUUCGACCAUAUGGCAUGCAGCGAUAGUGCACUGUUGGAAGAAGUCAUUCGGGAAGUACUCGUGCAAGGCGACAGGAAUGCGUGGCUCUUGCUCCAUAGGUUCCCCAGCAUACGUUGGCUUAUCGACUUUUGCGUUUCUUUUAGGCUUCCUACUGUUGCGGCGACGGUGUUUUCUCACUUGUUCCACCUUUGGUCUUGUGGCUUGUGGUUUUGGUUUCCUUGUUUUUUUGUAGGUCACCAAUGUCCAUCCUUCAUCAUCCAUCGGGUCAAUCAACGCGCAUCUUGUUCGUUUGCUUGCCCCGGCGAUGGUUGUGUAGAAGCGCCCGUGUAGCUAGCUUGCACAUUGAUAGGAAUGGUCGGGUGUCGUUUGGAGAGGCACGGGAUCGAAGGAUCCGAACGCCACUGUAGUAGUAUGUGUUGCGGCUGUGUCCUCAAGGUCUAGCUCGAUUCUCCCUUGUUGUGCUAGCUUCAUAAUGAGUUCUUUGAGGAUGAAGCAUUUGCCCACAUGAUGGCUUACGAUACGAUGGUACUUACAGUACCUAGGAUCGUUCGUUCGAUUCAUUUCUUCAGGGCGCUUGCACUCUGGUAACUCAAUUACCUUCUUUUCCAGCAAGUCAUCUAACAUUGCAUCCACGUCUGAGUCAGGAAAAGGGUACGUCUUUUGCUCUAACUCUCUCAAGGUGUUUUUAUACUUGUCUUGGGUGCGAGGAGGCUCACUUCUUUUUGUCUCAUUUGCCUUGGUCUUGGAGGAAAUCUUGAUAGGUGCAGAGGUGGUCUUGAUAGGCGCGGAUGGGGUUUUGAUGGGGGUAGUGUUGACAGUAAAAGUUUCCUUGGCAGGUUUUUUUCCGGCCUCGUCCACACUCGGGGCGAACACCUUAUCCUUCUUGAAGUGGGUGAUCGGCUCAUUCUUUCCGUGAUUGGCGAUACUCAGCUCCAUGUCGUGGGAACGCGUUGCCAGCUCCUCAAACGUUCUUGGUUUUAUGCCUUGGAGAAUGUAAUGUAACCCCUAGUGCGUGCCUUGAACACACAUCUCAAUGGCAGAGGUUUCAGAAAGCCGAUCUUUGCAAUCCAGACUUAAUGAACGCCAUCUAUUGAUGUAGUCGACGACGGGUUCCUCCUUCCAUUGUUUUGUACUGGUCAGCUCCAGCAUGCUUACGGUGCGGCGCGUGCUGUAGAAGCGGUUGAGGAAUUCCUUUUCUAGCUGAUCCCAACUGUUGAUAGACUCGGGCUCGAGGUCAGUGUACCAGUCAAAGGCGUUGCUUUUCAGCGAGCGCACGAACUGCUUGACGAGGUAGUCUCCCUCUGUUCCAGCAUUGCUGCAGGUUUCAACGAAGUGGGCGACAUGUUGCUUCGGGUUCCCCUUUCCAUCGAACUGCAUAAACUUUGGUGGUUGAUAACCCCUCGGCAUCUUCAAAGCGUCAAUCUUCUUGGAGUAGGGCUUUGAGUAUAGUACGGAAUCAUGUGAGCUUCCUUCAUACUGCGCCUUGAUGGUGUUGGCGAUCAUCUCCUGCAGCUGCUGGAUAGAGAGAGACCCUAUGAGCGUCGCCGCUUGGUCUGGCUUCAGCGUCUCUUCGACGUUCUCCACUGGAGGUUCCUCAUCCUCGUCGUUUUCCCUUUUUACUGGAUUAUCCCCUUGCCUGACUUUCUCAUCGGGCUUUGCAUCUAGUUGGUUAACGAGUGCUGCGAUUUGCAGGUCUUUGUCCUCCACAAUCCUUGUGAGUUUUGCGAUUGUUUCACUCAUCUGAGCCAGCUGCUCCUCAAUUGAAGUCGCUCCAGCAACCAUGACUUGCAUAGCUAUGCCGCUGCUUGAGUCGGCAUCAGAAAGUAAGGAUUCAGAGUACUUCCUCUGGCUUUCCUCUCUUGGCGCCCUGAGCGAGGCCAGGGUGAUCACCGAUUUGUGCCUCGGGUGCUCUUGUGCCUUCGGCGGAGUUGAUGCAGGGGCGGAAGAGGCGGCAGAAAGAGCUUUUGCCUUGCUUCGAGUUAUGAUGCCUGAAGUGACGCCCCCUGUCGUGAUGACACUCUUGUUUCUUGCAUUGGCAGCGAGAACAACUUGGGCCUUCCUUGACGCCAUUUGUGCUUGUUGCGGAUUCAAAGAUAGAGAUGAGAGGUAGAGACUUUCCCACUGGGCGUGCCAAAUUUGUAAACACGGAAAUUCCUGCGAUGAAUGAGACAAGAACACGUGUACAAUAAUAUUUGUAUUAAUGAUUUAGGGGUUACAAUCUCUUCUACAAAUUUAGCCUCUGAUUCUAUCUUUGUAAUGGGUAGAUGUAGUGUUGUUGACCCAGGGGUCGUCGAGGCUUGAUCUUGGACGAACAGUUGAUGGAUGAUAAACACCUUCUUCAAGGGCCGUCGGGGCUUGAUCUUGAAUGGGUGGAAGUUCUUCAAGGGGCGUUGGGGCUUGAUCUUGAAGGAGGAUUUCACGAAGAACGAAGAGGGCUUUCUUGAUCCUUCGGGAUUUACUUGAGAGCUUCAAAGUUUCGAGGCUUCAAGGCUUUGGUGUGGUGUGAAUUCUCUUCCAAUUUGGGAGUAGAGAAAGUGUGUGUAAAAAUCCUCCCCUUGAUCCUUUGAUGGAGAAGCCUAUUUAUAGGCUUUGAGAAUGAAUCACCACCAUCCAUUUGUUUUGGUGGAUGUUGUAGGUGAAUUGGUGGAUUGUUGUAGGUGAAUUUGGGUGGAGGUUGUAGGUGAAUUUGGAUGGAUUGUUGUAGGUGAAUUUGGGUGUAUGUUGUAGGUGAAUUUGGGUGGAUGUUGUAGGUGAAGUGAAUGAAGGUUGUAGUUUUAAUGCAAU